CACGUAGGGGGCGAGCGUUGUCCGGAUUUAUUGGGCGUAAAGAGCUCGUAGGCGGCUCGGUAAGUCGGGUGUGAAACCUCCAGGCUCAACCUGGAGACGCCACUCGAUACUGCCGUGGCUAGAGUCCGGUAGAGGAGCGUAGAAUUCCUGGUGUAGCGGUGAAAUGCGCAGAUAUCUGGAGGAAUACCGGUGGCGAAGGCGGCAUCCUGGACCAUUACUGACGCUGAAUCGCGAAAGCUAGGGGAGCAAACGGG
rnacentral:rRNA from 1 species